CAUACUCCUCACUCCAUCAAGCCUCAUUUGAGUCAUUUCCCAGCAAAUUAAACCAAGUAAAAGUAUCCCCUUUAAACCCCACAUUCCUCUCUGUUUCUACGCACCACCACCGUAACACCGCCUCCUCUGCAACCUACUUCCACCACAUGAAUGACUUGCUCCCACUCUCGAUCACCAUGUACGACCACUAACCUCCGAUAUCAAGCUUUAAUUAUAGCAUUCCGUUGUCGAACCCGAAACCCGAACUCACUCCUCCCAUCUCUUCUGGAGUACGACCACCAAACGUUGCUACACGGACCAUCGCCGUUCUGCCUCCCUUACUUCUGACCACAUGACCUCCACCUUAGAACUACCUUUGUACCGCCUCUCGCAAGUCCUAAUUCCUAAACUACCUCCCUCAUUUUUCUGUUCGUGGUGGUUAGAAAAGACCAACGUUGGUCUCUGGAUUCUCCAAUUUGGAAACAUGUGCACCUAAAUCCUAAAAAGUCAACUCUUGUGGGCCUUACUAACUAAUAAGACAUAACGUUAUAAAUGGUAUUCGGAGCUCGGAAGAACGGUCCAUCAAACGGGAAGUAUAAAACUACGGUUGAGGUACAAAGAAGAUCAUGGGAUGCCUUAGAGUGAGGAUGCAACCAUCAAAUUCACGAUCGUUCUUUAGUAAAGAUAACUAUGUCUCACUAGUAAUAAUGGAUGUAUUAAUUAAACUCUAGUUUAAUUGCAAGAAAUGAGUUAGACUUUUAUAUUAAUAUUUAAUCAAUGUUAGGAGUAUGUAUUAUUAAAGUUUAUUUAGUAACUUAAGAAGUAUUUUGUCGCCUUGUAUUCCCGCGAGGGAGAUAUGGCAUGCGACGCUCCGACUAAAUUAGGAUUUCCGCUGCUAAUUAAACAUAAUUAACCUAAUUAAUGGUGUUUAGAAGUCGGGGCGUUACAACAUGUACUCCCUCCGUCCCGGAAUACUCGACCCGGUUUGACCGGCACAGAGUUUAAGGGACUUGAAUUGACUUAUUUAAUUUAAUAGGUAGUAGUUGAUAGUGGGAUAUUAUUUUAAUAUAGUUAGUGGGAAAUGUGUAAAGGAGUGGGGUUGGGGGAGAGUAAGGGUUGAAUUUUUAAUUAUUUUUUGUAUGGAGUAGGGAGUAGGUGGGUUAAUAGGGGUAGAGUGAGAAAUAAUAUAAUAUUGUUAGAAUAUUUCCAUUUUUAGAAACAGGUCAAGUAUUAAUGGACGACCCGAUAAGGAAACAGGUCACGUAUUCCGGGACGGAGGGAGUAAUAAUUUAAUCAUGAAAAUCCCUAAUUUCCAAUCACAAGCACUCAAACCAAUCAAUGUUGAGUUUUCACCAAACCCUAAUCAAUAAACUACUCAAUCAACAUAAACACAAAAUUUAUAGAAAUUAACAACUAAAAACAUGGUUCUAAACAAUAAUAAGAACUAAUCUAAAUAUGAAUCAUUAAGCUAAACAAAAAAAAAUUGAACUAAUUAAAACAAUAAAUGAAAACAAUAAAUAAGGAGAUAGAGUAAGAAAUUGUUCAUUGAUUAAUUGGUUGAUCCUUCCAUACAAGUUGUCACCCUUGAAUUUCAAAAGCCCAAUUUUUCAUUGAUUUUCCCUCACUUUCUCUCACCAAAAACUAAUCUUAUACCCUGAACCCUAAGAAAAAGACUAAUUAUGUACGGAGUACAUUUUUUUUUUGAAAGAUAAGUUUUUUUUUUUUUUUUUAAUAGGAAAGAUCGUAGAUUUCAAUUCUACGACAAGAAAAUCGGGUACCCAAGUGGGUGACUAAUUAUGUACAUUGUAAGUUUUUUUAACCCAAAUUUUGGUAUUUAUACUAAGGCCUAAAAAAAAGGAAAAAUAAAUAAAGAGAAAAGAAAAUAAAUAAAGGAAAUUAAAACAAAAGAAAAGAAAAGAAAAGAAAAAGAAAAAGAAAAAGCUAAACUAAAGUACUGUAAAACUAAUUAAAAGAAGAAAAGAAGAAAUAAAAAAAUAAAAAGAAAAAGGAAAAGCCUUAAAGCAACUCUAAUGGUUACAAAAUGGACCUGCUCACAAAAAAAUGAAUAUGUGAGCAGGUAGCCCACCAUUGGUACAACAAUGACAUAAACAACUCAAAAAAUCUUGUAGCUAUUUUGGGCUACGUAGCUCAAAAAUAAUAUAGCUCAAAAAAAUAAAUUAUUUAAAAUAAAUAUUAUAGGGAGCUACAAAGUAUUAUAGCCCACCAAUAUGAUAAAUUAUAGUUUUAAUCAAUUAUAGUUAAAAAUUUAAUGUGGCAAAUUUAGCCACAACAUAUUGUAACUCACCAUUUGACAAAUGCUCUUAAACAAUGAGAACCUCACAAAAUCAAAAUGUAUCCGACAUUUUGAACCAGAACCCCCUUUUGUUGUUUUGUCUUUUUUCGCCCCCUUUCCCCUUCGUCCAUUUUCGUCCAAAUUAAUUGGGGUUUUCUUGCUCCCUGCUUCACUGCGCCUCAUCUCCUCAAUCAUCAUCCUCGUCCGUCAUCAUCUAUCAAUCAUCAACCGUUCAUCAGCUUCCAUCAUCAAUCAUCACAAUCAAUCAUAGGCUUCCGAUUUCCAAUCACCCAACCCCAAUUCGAAGAACAAACAAUCACAACCUUUCACUCUUCAAUCAAAUCGCAGCCUUCAAAUGGAGUUGUACGGCGAAAAAUCGAGGGCACCAACAAUGAACCACCAAGGCAAGCACGUGACCUUCAUUAAUUCCGUACAAGAACUCGACCGCCCAAAUGUUCGGACGAACUGAUAGUAGGUCCGGUCGAACUUAGUGGUGGUUUGGGCGAACUUCAUUCAGCUGGUGUUGUGCAUGGUUGUGUUGGAUGGCGGCGGUGAUAACAGUAUUGUUGGUGUUGCUUGGUGAUGCGUGGUAGGUUGCGAUGAAUGUACGGUGGAGAUUGGUGUUGGAGGAGCAGCGGCUGGGCAGCGUUGAGAGAUGAGAGCUGCUCCGCGGUGGCUAUUGUGUGGUUGAAAGAUGAUGGGCGCUGCAGUACUUUGUUUGUGUGGCGAGUAGUAGAGAAAGGAAGAAGAGUUGGGUGGUGGUGAUGGAUAAGACAAGAGUGGUGGUGUAGGCUAAGCUAUGCAAUGUUGCACCAUUCUUGGCAGCAGUUUGGCCCAAGUUUUGAGGCCCACAAGCCACGAAGUCCAUAAUCCAAUUCUUUAGUGAAGAAAUUACUUCUCUCAUGCGUGAUUCAAUUUCUUUUCCCUGUUAUUGAAAUAUGGUGCUAAUUAUCACUUAUCAUCAGGUUGUGUGAAGGUGGAGAGUUGCUGGAUCGAAUAUUAUCUAAGUAAACAAUGUUCUAUUCAGCCGCGUUUUCAUGAUGUUAUUUCCAGAAGCGUUAAUGUCAAAUUUUUGUUACAUAAAUGUUCUAAUGUUAAUUGCUUUUGUUAUCCAAAUCAGAAAGGAUAGCUGGUAUUAAGAGAAAGACGCAGCAGUGGUGGUGCGUCAGAUGUUGAAAGUCGCUGCUCAGUGUCACUUACAUGGUUUGGUUCACCGUGAUAUGAAACCUGAGAAUUUUCUUUUCAAGUCGCCUAAAAAGGAUUCAUCUUUAAAGGCCACAGAUUUUGGACUAUCAGGUUUCAUAAAACCUGGAGAGUAGAAAAAAUUAACAUCAAUUUUGGAUAAUUAGUUCUCUUAAGCCUAGUUCUGGAGGAUCCUAUGGUUCAUCCUUUAUGAGUGUUAUCCAUUUAAAGGGAGAAAAUUCAUAGAUAUUGUUGGUAGUGCCUACUAUGUGGCUCCAGAAGUACUAAAACGAAAAUCAAGUCCAGUGUCCGAUGUUCGGAGUAUUGGUGUCAUCACCUAUAUAUUACUUUGUGGCAGACGCCCAUUUUGGGAUAAAACUGAAGGUGGUGUUUAAGGAGGAAAGAUUUAAAGUUGAGACGGCUCAGUAGUACAAGCUCGCUACUGGCAGGUAUUUGGAGUCUUCAUUUUAAACAGAGGAAGAAUAUUUGAACUCUCAAGGGAUGUCUCCAACGUUGGCAACAAUACCAGUGCUGAUAGGUCUUUACAGAGCCCUUUCAUAUGUUGCUAAUGAGAAUCUUUUCCAUGGUUGCUUAACUAGACAUGUCUCCUACUGCUCAAACAACAGUGUUAAGAUCCAUCAGAGUUCAAUGCGCACAGAAAUUUCUCACACGAAAUGCUCCAUAUUGAGUUAAACUUCAAAUUUGAAGUAAUUGUCAAUAUACCACACAGCUCUAAGCAACACAGAGAGAAAGACCUAUAUUCUUAACUACUGAGCCAUCCAUAUCUGUGGUUAAAUAAAAACCAACUUUUGCUGCUACAAGGUAGCAUGGUUAACUCUGAAAUUUCAUGAUAGAAGAAAUGCUUUUUCGCCCUCGUUUACGACUAAAAUAGUGUACAAUGUUGAAGUUUUCUUCUAUUUUGCAUAGUUGUUUAUUUUAGUGAUUUAGUUCAUUCAUUUUAAAGCUCUCCAGUAAAUUAUAAAUUGAUUACUCAGAAUACUACACUGCUACGCACCAUUUAAAUCCACUGUUUCCCACGUUUACCAUUCUCUCGCAUAUUUGAAAAGGACGUAUACUAGACUCUCUCUAAGAAUUACUUAGAGAAUCAAUUUUAGUGGACAAUGAGCCAAAUGAACAACAAUUUGAGGUCAUUAAAAUAAGCUUGCUUACAUCGUCAAAAUCUAUAAGUAAUACAAUAAGACCUAAAGUAAAAAAAAAAAAAAAAAAUAACACAAAACAGACACAUCUUGAUUCAACUAUUUGCAUAAGAUAAUCAUAAAUGUAACUAUAGUGUGCUAUGCAUAAAUGAAUGAACUCAUUUUGAGCUCAUAUAAAUGGUAAACGUGCAGGAUACUCACAGUGCAGGAUACUCAAAGAGGUUGAUGAAGAACUUUCUGAGAUUAUCAACUAAUUCAGGUGUGGCGUCAGCAACUAUUCUCAUAACUUUGUAGCUAAUCUGAGGAAACGAAAAAAAAAAAAAAAAAAAUUAGCAUUUCAAACAAUUUAGUUGCUUCAGUAAAAAAAAAUGAUGGUUAAAUUACAUUUAUCAAAUUGGAUAGAACAGUAUAUUCGGUUUCCUCUCUGAAUGAUGCAAUCAAAGUCAACAAAUUUAUCAGAGAUUGCUGACCACUGGUACACAGGGCAAACAAAUCAUCCAGAACACCUGUUGGUAAGAAGUUUAAUGUCAAACAAUUACAGAACUAUUUAUAUAAUAGAAAUGACACAAUAAAGCCUGCACAAACAAACUUACCAAAUCUAUCAGUUGCAGACAAUUGGCCACUCUCUAUAGCAUGUCGAAGUUUAGCUCCAAGUUCUUCAUCAUAUUUCACUCUAUAAAACCCAGUCUGGUCCACAUUAAGCUUAACAUAAGCAGCAUCUUUGAUACCAAGACUUCCAGACUUCUCUUUCAGGAGAUAACUGUAACGGUUAUCGUAGGAUCCGCAACAUAAAGUGAUUGGGACAAUCCAUUGGCUAUCACUAGGGGAACCGCUCAACAAAAAGUGUGACUGUCAUCAAUUACACAAUGUUAGAUCUAGAAGUUAUAUAAGACAUUAACAAGGAAAAGUCCAAGUGGUUGGUAAUUAAUUAAUUUCUUGUAGUGGUAGCGCACUAGACCGAAAGUAAAAAAAAUUACGAAGUAUAAAUUAAGCGCAUUGCACCUGUUCUAAAUCGAGCUUCUCGUCUUUGACCCUCACGGAAACAACCGGAUAUCCUUUCUGCUGUGUCCAUGAAUUCAUUAGUUCCUUUACUGGUUCACCAGAUACCUCCUCAAGAACAGCCCAUAGGUCUUCAGUCUUUGCAUUUGAGCAAGCAUAUUUCUUUAUGUAGCGUGCCAGAGCUCUCUG